rnacentral:rRNA from 1 species
GGAAUCUCGGACAAUGGGGGCAACCCUGAUCCAGCGACGCCGCGUGGGGGAUGAAGGCCUUCGGGUUGUAAAGCCCUUUCGACGGGGACGAUGAUGACGGUACCCGGCGAAGAAGCACCGGCUAACUCCGUGCCAGCAGCCGCGGUAAGACGGCGGGUGCUAGCAUUGGUCGGAAUCACUGGGCGUAAAGGGCGCGUAGGCGGCCAGGCAAGUCGGCUCGUGAAAGCCCGGGGCUCAACCCCGGAGGUGCGGCCGGGACUGCUUGGCUGGAGGCCGGAAGAGGAGGGUGGAAUACCCAGUGUAGAGGUGAAAUUCGUAGAUAUUGGGUGGAACACCGGUGGCGAAAGCGGCUCUCUGGUCCGGUUCUGACGCUGAGGCGCGAAAGCGUGGGGAGCAAAC